GCCCCUGUAGCGCAAUCAAUAGCGCGUUGGAUUCCUAAUCCCAAGGUCGUGGGGUCGAAUUCCACCUGGGAUG